UACGUAGGGUGCGAGCGUUUAAUCGGAAUUACUGGGCGUAAAGCGUGCGCAGGCGGUUUUGUAAGACAGAGGUGAAAUCCCCGGGCUCAACCUGGGAACUGCCUUUGUGACUGCAAGGCUUGAGUGCGGCAGAGGGGGAUGGAAUUCCGCGUGUAGCAGUGAAAUGCGUAGAUAUGCGGAGGAACACCGAUGGCGAAGGCAAUCCCCAGGGCCUGCACUGACGCUCAUGCACGAAAGCGUGGGGAGCAAACAGG
rnacentral:rRNA from 1 species